CCCCGCUAUCUUUUUUUCAGCCGGUCCAUCAAAGGUCCAGAUCGAAGGCCCCGACAUCAUAGAAAUUGCAAAGAAGUAUAUGUUUGUGUGUUCCGCCCAGUGUCUGCCAUCUUGUCGCUACUUGUUGUCUGUGGACGGUCAGACCGUGAGGGGCAAUGUGAUUGAGAUCAGAGUGGAUCAUCCACUUGAAUCUGUCACUCUCAAGUGCGAGGCACAAAACAUAGCUUCCAGGAGGACGGGCACAGUGUUAAAGACUGCACAAGUUAAAGGGUCAAAUCAAAACCUGUCUGUUCGUCCUGAAGAGACCUCAGCACUGCUGCUGUUGGUCUCCAUGGUGACGGUCUUCUUUACACUGUGAUCCACUGCACACAGGUUCAGGGAUGAAUCAGUGACAAAGAAAUCUUUCUAAGUCUUGGGGAAGUGAUGACUCACACACUCUACAAAUUACUCCUUUGCACUCGCCUCACAUGUUGACAUUGGGCUGAUCCGUGUUUGCACUUUGCAGGGAGUGACGUGGAAAAGGUGCUUGAUAGUGUGGAAACAGGAGCAACCACAUCUGAAGUAAGAAUUGGUUGAAGAUUCAACAACACUAAUUAAGCUGGAAAGUCGAUGCAUAAAUGAAAUGCACUGCCUUUUAUAUCAAGAGUUAUCAGAUUUGUAAAAACACUGUCUCAUCAUUGAAUUAAAGUCUUAAACAGA